UACAGAGGUCCCAAGCGUUGUUCGGAUUCAUUGGGCGUAAAGGGUGCGUAGGUGGCGUCGUAAGUCGGGUGUGAAAUCUCGGGGCUUAACUCCGAAACUGCAUUCGAUACUGCGGUGCCUGAGGACUGGAGAGGAGACUGGAAUUUACGGUGUAGCAGUGAAAUGCGUAGAGAUCGUAAGGAAGACCAGUGGCGAAGGCGGGUCUCUGGACAGUUCCUGACACUGAGGCACGAAGGCCAGGGGAGCAAACGGG
rnacentral:rRNA from 1 species